AAGUCGAGCGGUAAGGCCCUUCGGGGUACACGAGCGGCGAACGGGUGAGAAACACGUGAGCAACCUGCCCCCGACUCCGGGAUAAGCGGUGGAAACGCCGUCUAAUACCGGAUACGACCGGCCACCUCAUGGCGGCCGGUGGAAAGUUUUUCGGUUGGGGAUGGGCUCGCGGCCUAUCAGCUUGUUGGUGGGGUAAAGGCCUACCAAGGCGAUUACGGGUAGCCGGCCUGAGAGGGCGACCGGCCACACUGGGACUGAGACACGGCCCAGACUCCUGCGGGAGGCAGCAGUGGGGAAUAUUGCGCAAUGGGCGAAAGCCUGACGCAGCGACGCCGCGUGGGGGAUGACGGCCUUCGGGUUGUAAACCUCUUUUACCACCAACGCAGGCUCCCAGUUCUCUGGGGGUUGACGGUAGGUGGGGAAUAAGGACCGGCUAACUACGUGCCAGCAGCCGCGGUAAUACGUAGGGUCCGAGCGUUGUCCGGAAUUAUUGGGCGUAAAGAGCUCGUAGGCGGCGUGUCGCGUCUGCUGUGAAAGACCGGGGCUUAACCCCGGUUCUGCAGUGGAUACGGGCAUGCUAGAGGUAGGUAGGGGAGACUGGAAUUCCUGGUGUAGCGGUGAAAUGCGCAGAUAUCAGGAGGAACACCGGUGGCGAAAGGCGGGUCUCUGGGCCUUAUCCUGACGCUGAGGA
rnacentral:rRNA from 1 species